CCUACGGGAGGCAGCAGUCGAGAAUCAUUCACAAUGGGGGAAACCCUGAUGGUGCGACGCCGCGUGGGGGAAUGAAGGUCUUCGGAUUGUAAACCCCUGUCAUGUGGGAGCAAAUUAAAAAGAUAGUACCACAAGGGGAAGAGACGGCUAACUCGGUGCCAGCAGCCUCGGUAAUACAGAGGUCUCAAGCGUUGUUCGGAAUCAAUGGGCGUAAAGCGUGCGGAGGCUGUUUCGUAAGUCGUGUGUGAAAGGCGCGGGCUCAACCCGCGGACGGCACAUGAUACUGCGAGACUAGAGUAGUGGAGGGGGAAGCGGAAUGCUCGGUGUAGCAGUGAAAUGCGUAGAUAUCGCGAGGAACACUGGUGGCGAAGGCGGGUUCCUGGCCAUUAACUGACGCUGAGGCACGAAGGCCAGGGGAGCGAAAGGGAUUAGAUACCCCAGUAGUC
rnacentral:rRNA from 1 species